rnacentral:lncRNA from 1 species
GAUCUAUGAAAAUCUUUUAGGCUAGGUGUUUUUGACGGAAAUCACAGGAGAUAGAUUGUACGAGUUAUUCAGUAAGGUUGGGCUGCAGGAUGUCUGCAUCAGAUCAGCAUAAGGAGGUUGUAAAUCAAGUGAAAGCUGGGCUGUGUGUCAGCAGCAAGUUAGCUGUUCCCUGAGAGCCCCACUCAAGGACCACAGCUUGAGUAGCACUGGAACUUUUCGCUAAGCGCUGCUUGGAUGUCACGCAGAGGUUCGUCUCAUGGAAGGGGAAAAAACAGGCAAAGCUCCACAUUUCAGUCUCAUUUUUCUGCAGAUUGGCCUGGCCACUUUAUUUACUAAUAUUUCUAUUUGUUGUGAGGGCAAGACAAAAAAAGUCUGAUGUUUAUGUGCAGACCUGCACUAUCCAGCGACUUGUUUUGGUGCUGAAUUUAUCUGUUCAUGUGAAAUUAAAUGUAUUUGAUAGGAGGAGGUGGCACAGAGCUAAUGGUGUAGAACUGGUUACGUACUUAUAAGGCAUCUUGAUUUGAAGAAAAAGACCAGUGGUCAUUUUGUGAGAUAUAUCAUCUUUAAUCAUCACCAUCUUUAAUGGCCACUACUGGUUUGGACAUCUGCAUUUACAGCACAGCACUACCACUGAAGAAAGACUGAAUCUAAAAUCAUUAAUUUAAAUCCAAUGUCCCCGUCACAACCAGUAACUUAAAUUAGGUAUGUGGGCACAUAGUGGCAGUCACAGAAAUGUAUUCUCCUCCACAUCCAAGUCAGAGAAGGAGCUGAACGUUCACAACUCCUGUUGUAGAAAAUGGAAGCUAAGAGGAUUAACAGCACAUACCAUAUGCUUGGUAUUUAGGGUAAUUUCCGAAGUCGUGAGGGUUACUGUGGACUAGGACCACCUUAUUGAAGCAAGUGGGACUCAUUUCAUGCAUCUGUCUGGGUAUGUAUGUCCAUAGACAGAAGAUGCGGUGAUCCUGCAUGUGCACACAUGCACAUGUGAGUAUAGCAUUAGUAAAUUCCUAAUUCUGUCAAAACACUGAUUUCUGAAAAGGCAGCUGUGAUCAGCAUAUCAAGUAAUACUUAAUUGCAAAGCCCUCAGCAUGCAAAAAAUAAUAAUAAUGCCAUUUUUAGUCACUUCUACUUUAUUUGCACUCUUUAUUGCACUUGGAUUUUCAUGUGCUGUUAAGGGGAAAAAAAUAACAAACCACCACCAAUAAAAAACUCUUCUGCCUCUGCAGUGCUCUCCUCAUACCAUCUCAUGGCUCCAGUAGCUCUUUGUUCUCAGGACAAGCACUGGUGGGUAGAAGGAGGCUUCAGCUUUGCACUGCACAUGACGUGGCUGCAUAAGCGCCUGCCUGUGCAGCACAGCGAGGUGCAGCCAGCUGCAGGAGAGCUGUGAGUUGGAUAUUUCUUCCCUGCUUUCCAAAUCUCUUUCUCGACUCUGAAGAGACACGGAGAAGAGCGUUAAUAUCAAAAGGAUACAGUUAAUUCCCUUGUUUUUCCCCAGUGCUGCUGAGAUUGCUGGUGAAUAUUACCUGAUGAGCAGCUAGUGAGUUUGUGCAGGAGCGUGGCGAUGGAGCAAGGAAGUAGCAGUGGCUCUGAAUAAAUCAUUCAUGUGUGCACUGCAGACUGCGCUUUGGGGACUGGCGGUAAUGGUGACACUCUCUCAGACAAACAGAGGAAAAGGCUUUCACCCAACUUUUUGCUGAAACCUCAGAGGAAUAGAACAGGUCAGCGGUGAAUAUUAAAUCAACUUCUGGCCAUCAUCCAAAGCGAUUUGGCCUAGUUAGGAAGCAUCAAGAAGGAAGAAAGCUUUGCUUCUUCACAUCCUGAUUUCUCCAGGGAGGGGAGAAGAAGGAGAUCUGUGCAUGGCAUUACAAAGGCAACCUGAUUUUGUAAGCCAACACUUCCUUCAUACGCACACGCAGACAACCCCAUGCAGAUCUGCAUUACACGUGCAGACACCUUUCCUGCAGUGCUGCAGCAAUCUUUAACUCCAACAUGCACAGUCUGAUGAAUAUGGCUGGAUCACAGGGUAUGUGUUCAGUUUUGCAAGAGCAGUAUUAUGUCCUUAUCACAUGGGGGAUAAUGUGACAGUGCAGCCCUUGCCUCCCUGGUGAAUGGGAUGGGAUUGGUCCCUCACUGUGCAGUGUGUACCUCCUUAUCUCAGCCACGUGAGAGCCUUGCAAGGCUGACUCCAGUGGGAGCUUCUCAGCAGCCCCAGAUAUGCUGAAUGGAACUACCUCCAUAUUCUGCAUUUUGGAUAUCUGUCCAAAACACAUAAUUUCUUUUGCAAAGUUAUUUUGGGGGGGUAUAUUAUUUAUUCUCAGAAAAAGAGCUAUAAGAAGAGAGGGUGGGACACGGGCAAGCCUUUCAAGGUUCCUUCACUAAAUUUGCUGUCAGUGAUCCCAUUCAGAGAUCCUGAGAGAAAGAAAUGGUCAGUUAGAGCCUGGUGCAUCCCCAGCACCUCCCAGAAGAUGCCUGCAGGCUGCUUCAAAAGGGCACACCACUUCCCAUGGAACCAAAACCAGAAUGCCUGAAGAGGAAUAACAGUAAGCCCAGUUGGGUCUCAUGCAGUAAGCAGGGCAGCUAAAGUGAGGUGCUAAUGAAUUCUUUUAAUGAAUCUUUAUAAUCAUUAUAAUGAAAUCUUUUCCCACUGCUUGGGUGCUUGCUUUCUUCCAUAAAGCUUGUUCUCACCGUGCCUUCUCCAAAGCAAUGGCAGCAAGCUGCUGGGGUUACCAAGGUGUGAGGACAGUGGCCAUGUAAUGCCAGCACCUUCUGUGUGGAGCAGGACUGAGGGAGACCACUCUUAUUUAUUAGUAUUUUUAUAGCCAGCACUACUGUUGCUAUUUCUCACAGCUUUUGAUUAUCUUUCUCAUUUCAUCUCUUCCUCAUGCCCCAGGUCUGGGCAAACAUUCGGGCUGAUGCAGCCCCAUAUAGCCAGCAGCCUUUGCUGCUCAUGUAAGGUAUGAAAUGACCUUUCUUUCCAAGUGUGUAGAGGAUAAAAAUGCUAAGCUAGGAAUCUAUGGUGGUGUCUGCCUCCUCGGAUGUCUUAUAAAGACAUCUGGACAUGGGCCAGCUCUGACUGUCCCUGCUUGCAUAGUGAGUUGGACCACAUGACUUCCAGAGGUCCCUCCCAACCUCAGCCAUGCUGUGAUUCUGCAAAAAAAAAGGGUGCUGGAGAAUAUGGGGUGAGAGGAAGCAUUACCAGGUUUUCAUUCCCGCCAGGCAUCCAGCUGAGCUCAGGCCCCUUGUGCACUUGCUCUAUGGUUGAUACCACAGGUAUUUACUGAGAUGGGCUGGAAAUAAAUAGGGAAAGAGCUUCAAGAGUGCAGCAUCCUUGUGGUUCAGUGGUCAAAAAUGUGUUUGAAAGUAUUUAAUAGAGCUGGUCAGAAAACACUGAGGGAUGAUUUUAUGGUCUUCCUGCAAAAUCCUGCAACACAAACACAGAAGCCACAACAUAAAGGUUUUCUGACACAGAUCUUGUGCUAAAAUUCAGAACCACCACUGUGGGGCUGUGUGGGAAUUUUAUUCCUUGUGCUUUGUGAGUCAGCGUCUGCCUAGGGGUCGGACUUGUGGGCACUUCUCCCAUGGCAGUGGCGUGCAUCCUGCUGGAGCCACCGUAGCAUCACUACCUUCACACUGCCCAGGUGUCCAGCCGUGCUGAUCUGGGAGGAUUUUCUGCUGCAAGACAAAAUUCGAUUGGGUCAAACAGAGUGUUUUCUCUUGGAUGGCAAUUGCAAAAGAUUAUUAUUAUUAUUUUAUUUAUUUUAAUUAACCUUAAAUGAUUGCAAGAGCUCACAGCUCGCUGCACUGUGGCAAGGUUUCUCCAAGGAGGAUACAGAUGUGCCAGAGAGCCCGGCUCUCCCUCUCAGCACUAUCAGGGGUGUCCGUUUCAGCCCCCCAAGACCCCCUUGGUAACUCUGUGGGGCACUGAUGGCCAAGGCAGCAGUCUGGGGCACACCCAGGGCUUUCAGGCUGACGGUGACCUUGAGCAGGUUUCACCGGUGGGCUUCCUCCCCGAGGAGGAAGGGUGAGCUGUAGAGCCACCAAACCCACAGUUAUUUUCCACAUCUGGUUUGAUUUUCUGCAUAUAAACAGCAGCCUUGCCAUUAACAACAAAAACUUAAUUCACUGAGGUUUGUUCAAGCACUGAGAGCAAAUAUUUUUCCUGUGCAGCUUGGGGUCAUUUUAAGGGAAAAACAGGGCUGGAGGUAUAUCGACCC